UCGCAUGGUGUUGGUGCGCCCCUCGUGGCCCUUGAAAAUCCGGAAGACGGAGUGUUGUCCGUGCCUGGUCGUACUUAUAACCGCAUCAGGUCUCUAGGGUGAACAACCUCUGGUCGAUGGAAUAAUGUAGGCAAGGGAAGUCGGCAAAAUGGAUCCGUAACUUUGGGAAAAGGAUUGGCUCUGAGGUAUGGACAUGAGGGUCCCAGUCCCAAACCCGUCGGCUAUUGCUGAACUGCUCGAGCUACUUUCGCAGUGAGAGCGGAUCAUCCCGUGCCAGCCGGGGGACAGACUGGAAAUGGUUCCUUCGGGGGUCUUCCCCGAGCAUCGAAUAGCCAACUCAGAACUGGUACAGACAAGGGGAAUCCGACUGUUUAAUUAAAACAAAGCAUUGCGAUGUUCAAUGCGGAUGUUUACGUAAUGUGAUUUAUGCCCAGUGCUCUGAAUGUCAAAGUGAAGAAAUUCAACCAAGUGCGGGUAAACAGCUGGAGUAACUAUGACUCUCUUAAGGUAUCCAAAUGCCUCAUCAUCUAAUUAGUGACAUGCAUGAAUGGAUUAACGAGAUUCUCACUGUCCCUGUCUACUAUCUUGCGAAACCCCAGCCAAGGGAAUGGGCUUGGAAGAAUCAACAGGGAAAGAAGACCCUGUUGAGCUUGACUCUAGUCCGACUUUGUGAAAUGACUUGAGAUGUGUAGUAUAAGUGGGAGCCAAAAGGUGAAAGUGAAAUACCACUACUUUUAACAUUAUUUUACUUAUUCCGUGCAUCGGAAGCGGGCACUGCCCCUCUUUUUGGACCCAAGGAUUGCUUGUAGGAUAAUUCGGGCGAAAGACAUUGUCAGGUGCGGAGUUUGGGUAGGGUGGCACAUCUGUUAAAAGAUAACACAUGUGUCCUAAUUUGAGCUCAACAAGAACAGAAAUCUCGUGUAGAACAGAAGGGUAAAAGCUCGUUUGAUUUUGAUUUCCAGUACGAAUACAAACCAUGAAAGCGUGGCCUAACGAUCAUUUAGGCCUUCAAAAUUUGAAGCUAGAGGUGUCAGAAAAGUUACCACAGGGAUAACUGGCUUGUGGUAGCUAAGAGUUCAUAGUGACAUUGCUUUUUGAUCCUUCAAUGUCGGCUCUUCCUAUAAUUGUGAAGUAGAAUUUGCCAUGUAUUGGAUUGUUCACCCACCAAUAGGGAACGUGAGCUGGGUUUAGACAUUGUGAGAUAGGUGAGUUUUACCCUACUGAUGACAGUGUCACAAUAGUAAUUCAACUAGGACAUCGCAGGACAUGGCCAUGACAAAUGUCAGGACAUCGCAGGACAUGGCAUGGCGUGGCCACAGGAUGUGUCAGGACAUUAUAGGAAAUGGCCAUGGCAUGGGUCAGGAUGUGU
rnacentral:rRNA from 1 species